GCCGAUACCGCGCGAUACGCAAAGAAACCUUAGAGCACGUCAUUCGUAAUGAUGGGGUCGUAGGUUCGAGUCCUAUCACCGGCACCA
rnacentral:tRNA from 1 species